rnacentral:rRNA from 1 species
UACGGAGGGGGCUAGCGUUGUUCGGAAUUACUGGGCGUAAAGCGCACGUAGGCGGCUUUGCAAGUCAGAGGUGAAAGCCCGGGGCUCAACCCCGGAAUUGCCUUUGAGACUGCAUCGCUAGAAUUGUGGAGAAGUAAGUGGAAUUCCGAGUGUAGAGGUGAAAUUCGUAGAUAUUCGGAAGAACACCAGUGGCGAAGGCGACUUACUGGACACAUAUUGACGCUGAGGUGCGAAAGCGUGGGGAGCAAACAGGG